rnacentral:rRNA from 1 species
CAGUCGCCGCGGUAAUACGAAGGGUGCAAGCGUUACUCGGAAUUACUGGGCGUAAAGCGUGCGUAGGUGGUGGUUUAAGUCCGUUGUGAAAGCCCUGGGCUCAACCUGGGAAUUGCAGUGGAUACUGGGUCACUAGAGUGUGGUAGAGGAUAGUGGAAUUUCCGGUGUAGCAGUGAAAUGCGUAGAGAUCGGAAGGAACAUCUGUGGCGGAGGCGACUAUCUGGGCCAACACUGACACUGAGGCACGAAAGCGUGGGGAGCAAACAGGAUUAGAUACCCCAGUAGUCCCUGUCUCUUAUAC